rnacentral:rRNA from 1 species
AGAGUUUGAUCAUGGCUCAGAUUGAACGCUGGCGGCGUGCCUAACACAUGCAAGUCGAGCGGUAACAGGCGUAGCAAUACGUGCUGACGAGCGGCGAACGGGUGAGUAACGCUUCGGAAUCUGCCCAAUGGUGGGGAAUAACCAGCCGAAAGGUUGGCUAAUUCCGCAUGAGCCCUACGGGGGAAAGCGGGGGAUCGCAAGACCUCGCGCCGAUGGAUGAGCCGAAGCCGGAUUAGCUAGUUGGUAGGGUAACGGCCUACCAAGGCGACGAUCCGUAGCUGGUCUGAGAGGACGACCAGCCACACUGGGACUGAGACACGGCCCAGACUCCUACGGGAGGCAGCAGUGGGGAAUAUUGGACAAUGGGGGAAACCCUGAUCCAGCGACGCCGCGUGUGUGAAGAAGGCCUGCGGGUUGUAAAGCACUUUUAGUGGGGAUGAAAAGCUCAGGGCUAACACCUCUGGGUCUUGACCUAACCCACAGAAAAAGCACCGGCUAACUCUGUGCCAGCAGCCGCGGUAAUACAGAGGGUGCAAGCGUUAAUCGGAAUUACUGGGCGUAAAGCGUACGUAGACGGUUGGAUAAGUCGGAUGUGAAAGCCCCGGGCUCAACCUGGGAAUGGCAUUCGAGACUGUUCAGCUAGGGUGCGGAAGAGGGAAGCGGAAUUUCCGGUGUAGCGGUGAAAUGCGUAGAUAUCGGAAGGAACACCAGUGGCGAAAGCGGCUUCCUGGUCCAGCACCGACGUUCAGGUACGAAAGCAUGGGGAGCAAACAGGAUUAGAUACCCUAGUAGUCC